GACGAACCGUGCGAACGUUGUUCGGAAUCACUGGGCAUAAAGGGCGCGUAGGCGGCUUAUCAAGUCAGGGGUGAAAUCCGGCAGCUCAACUGUCGAAGUGCCCUUGAUACUGAUGAGCUCGAGGGAGGUAGGGGUGUGCGGAACUUCCGGUGGAGCGGUGAAAUGCGUUGAUAUCGGAAGGAACGCCGGUGGCGAAAGCGGCGCACUGGACCUCUUCUGACGCUGAGGCGCGAAAGCCAGGGGAGCAAACGGG
rnacentral:rRNA from 2 species